CCCUGGUUUGCUCAGUUGGCAGAGCGCUCCACUGGAAGUGGAGAGGUCCCUGGUUCGAUAACGGGACCAGGCG
rfam:Ixodes scapularis strain Wikel colony gcontig_1108379588936, whole genome shotgun sequence.